rnacentral:rRNA from 1 species
UACGUAGGGUGCAAGCGUUAAUCGGAAAUACUGGGCGUAAAGCGUGCGCAGGCGGUGAUGCAAGACAGAUGUGAAAUCCCCGGGCUUAACCUGGGAACUGCAUUUGUGACUGCAUCGCUGGAGAGCGGCAGAGGGGGAUGGAAUUCCGCGUGUAGCAGUGAAAUGCGUAGAUAUGCGGAGGAACACCGAUGGCGAAGGCAAUCCCCUGGGCCUGCACUGACGCGCAUGCACGAACGCGUGGGGAGCAAACAGG